rnacentral:rRNA from 1 species
UACAGAGGGUGCAAGCGUUGUUCGGAAUUAUUGGGCGUAAAGAGCUCGUAGGCGGCCAGUUGCGUCCGCUGUGAAAGCCCGGGGCUUAACCCCGGGUCGGCAGUGGAUACGGGCAGGCUAGAGGUAGGUAGGGGAGAAUGGAAUUCCCGGUGUAGCGGUGAAAUGCGCAGAUAUCGGGAGGAACACCGGUGGCGAAGGCGGUUCUCUGGGCCUUACCUGACGCUGAGGAGCGAAAGCGUGGGGAGCGAACAGG